rnacentral:lncRNA from 1 species
GUGUCAAGUAAUCUAUAAUAACACCAUUUACUUGAAAUGGAUUUACAAAUUUUCUUCUGCUGUCAUCAUCAUCAUCGUUGAACGUCCGUUUUCCAUGCUAGCAUGGGUUGGACGGUUCGACCGGGGUCUGGGAAGCCAGGAGGCUGCACCAGGCUCCAGUCUGAUCUGGCAGUGUUUCUACAGCUAGAUGCCCUUCCUAACGCCAACCACUCCGUGAGUGUAGUGGGUGCUUUUUUUAGUGGGUGCCACCGGCACAGUUGCCAGGGGAAUCUGGCAGCGGCCACGUUCGGUUGGUACUCUUAAUGUGCUACCGGCACAGAAGCCAGUCAAGGUGGCGCUAGCAUCAGCCAUGAUCGGUUGGUGCUUUUAACGUGCCACUGGCACAGAAGCCAGUCAAGGCGGCACUGGCAUUGGCCACGUUCGGAUGGUGCUUUUUACGUGCCACCGGCAUAGGUAUCACAACUACUAUUUCCAUUGAUAUUUAUUUCGAUGUUCAUGUACUUGUAUAAUAUUAUAUUGUAAUAUAUUAAAAGUGUUUUUCU